rnacentral:rRNA from 1 species
GAUGAACGCUGGCGGCGUGCCUAAUACAUGCAAGUCGAGCGAACAGACGAGGAGCUUGCUCCUCUGACGUUAGCGGCGGACGGGUGAGUAACACGUGGAUAACCUACCUAUAAGACUGGGAUAACUUCGGGAAACCGGAGCUAAUACCGGAUAAUAUAUUGAACCGCAUGGUUCAAUAGUGAAAGACGGUUUUGCUGUCACUUAUAGAUGGAUCCGCGCCGCAUUAGCUGGUUGGGAAGGUAACGGCUUAACAAGGCAACGAUGCGUACCCGACCUGAGAGGGUGAUCGCCCACCCUGGAACGGGACCCCGCCCCAGCCUCCUACGGGAGGCACCAGUAGGGAAUCUUCGGCAAUGGGCGAAAGCCUGACGGAGCAACGCCGCGUGAGUGAUGAAGGUCUUCGGAUCGUAAAACUCUGUUAUUAGGGAAGAACAAAUGUGUAAGUAACUAUGCACGUCUUGACGGUACCUAAUCAGAAAGCCACGGCUAACUACGUG